CUCCUUCCUCCCACACCAUCGUUGCCGCGUCGCCUUCGCGUUUCCCAAUUCCGAGUUUGUUAAGUGUUUCUCACUCGCGCCUCGUCCGGCGCGUCGGUAUGUUGCCGUGACGAGGGGAGUGGGGGAAGGGGUAGAGGAAAGUGCGAGGAGGUCAAAGUGUCAGCGACAUUAAUAUCUCAUACAUCUGCAUAGAGAGGACUCGUUAAACAUAUCCGAGAUAAAAGCUAACAUACACGACAAUAAUAUAUAUAUAUAUAUAUAUAUAUAUAUAUAUAUAUAUAUACACGAACAUACGCGUACAUGCACACGCACAAAUAUAUACAUUUAGAAAGACACAAAUAUAUACGUUUUCGAAUGCACAUAUUUCUCUUGGUGCAGCAUAGACCCGGUCUGCACAUUUCGAUGAUGGGAAAGGAAGAAGUUUUAGUGGGGGUGAGAGGGAGGAACAGGUUUUGUCCUCCCUCCAUAGAGCGUGACGUUACUACAAGAUCAUUUGGUAGAAGAGUGAACGGAGUGUGCAGGAACCACCCACGCGGCAAAAACAGAAGUAAAAAAAAGAGAGAGAGAGAGAGAGAGAGAGCUGAAUCGCACGCUUUGCGGUUUCUCUAAUGCGUAACGGUGUUCACAAAGAGAGAGAGAGAGAGAGAGAGAGAGAGAGAGAGAGAGAGAGAGAGAGAUGGUGAACAUUUUUUAUAUAGUUGAUUCUCUUUACGGUGAAGGAUUCGUCAUCGGACAAUUGCGUGGACAAAUCCAAACUGAGAUAUGUUAUAGCGUUAAUAGAUACUACUUACUACUUAAAUCGAUCGUGUAAAUCGAAUAAUUAAAUUAUAGAAAAAUAUUCAGUCAAAGUCUGUUAAUAAAUCUUUACUCAAUGUAUAUAAUAAAGCAGACGUUAAAAUAUA